GGAAGAGACGUGCUGCCGAUGGGCGCCCGGACAUCAAAUCCGGGAAUGGGGCCGUGAGAACGUCCUUGGUGGGUUCGACUCCCACUCUCUUCCGCCA
rnacentral:tRNA from 1 species